UACAGAGGGUGCAAGCGUUGUUCGGAAUUAUUGGGCGUAAAGGGCGCGUAGGCGGUGCGGUAAGUCUGCAGUGAAAUCUCUGGGCUCAACUCAGAGUCUGCUGUAGAAACUGCCGUGCUUGAGUGUGGGGAGAGGUGAGUGGAAUUCCCGGUGUAGCGGUGAAAUGCGUAGAUAUCGGGGAGGAACACCUGUGGCGAAAGCGGCUCA
rnacentral:rRNA from 1 species